GAUGAAGAACGUAGCGAAAUGCGAUAAGUAAUGUGAAUUGCAGAAUUCAGUGAAUCAUCGAAUCUUUGAACGCACAUUGCGCCCGUCAGUAUUCUGGCGGGCAUGCCUGUUCGAGCGUCAUUACGCCCCUCAAGUCCCCUGUGGACUUGGUGUUGGGGAUCGGCGAGGCUGGUUUUCCAGCACAGCCGUCCCUUAAAUUAAUUGGCGGUCUCGCCGUGGCCCUCCUCUGCGCAGUAGUAAAACACUCGCAACAGGAGCCCGGCGCGGUCCACUGCCGUAAAACCCCCCAACUUUUUAUAGUUGACCUCGAAUCAGGAAGGACUACCCGCUGAACUUAAGCAUAUCAAUAAGCGGAGGA
rnacentral:misc_RNA from 1 species